CAAUUGAUCGAUUGCAGUCACGUGACUUCACGCGAGCGUCCGCCAUAUUGGAGGUCAAAUUUCAAGAUGGGAAAAUCGUUCGCGCAAAGUUACGUCGAAUCGCUUACAAAAGAAGUUUGUGAUAGUUAUAUAACAAAGCUCAAGAAGCUGAACAUUAGUAAAUGUCCUUCUGAGGACAAAGAGUUCGUUGAUGAGCCAAAAACGUGGCCAGUUGUGGAAUGGUGACAUUUAUUCCUAUUUCGUGUGCACAACGUCGCAUUACACCAAUGAAAAUAUGAAGGCCUACAAGAGUCUCGAGGCUUACAACUAUUUUGCAAGCGGUUGGGUGCGAGAUAUUUUUUGUGAAGAAGUUGUCCACGGAUUCAUUUCUAUUGAAAGCCAAAGUCAACCCUUCCCAACGCUCUCCAGACAAGCCACAUGAGGCCUGGGUGAACACACAGAAUGAUGGGACUGUGGUCAAUGGUCACUGCACCUGCAUGGCUGGCUUGGGUAGCAUGUGUUCCCAUGUCGCAGCCAUCCUCUUCAAAGUGGAGGCAUGUCACCGUACUGGCUUGACUACAGAUGCAUGUACAUCACAACUCUGUAAAUGGAACAAGACAUUUGUGAAGAAGAUUAAAUCUGGGCCAGUCGUUGAUAUGGAUUUUUUCCAAGCCAAAUCACAACAAAACAACACGGACAGUCGAGCCUCAGCCUACCAAAGAGAUCAAGGAGCCAAAUCACAGUGAUUUUAUUGCAUUCCUUGCUGAUGUGCAAAAGGUAAACCCCACCACCGUCUUACUCAGUGUAGUGCCAGAGUUUUCUACAGCCACAGAGGAACCAACCCCUCUACACAUGCCCAUACCUCUUACUACACUACUAUACAAACCCGAGUAUAGAACCAUGUCAACACCAGACUUUCAAAGAGAAGUUGAUAAAGUGUUCCUCAGCCUUAAGUCUUCUUGCUGUGCUCAGAUAACUGAAUCUGAAAGUGCUGGUCUGGAGAUGCACCAGAAGACAGCAGUUGAGUGAUGACUGGCUGGAACAGAGAAAGGGGAGGAUAACAGCUUCAACGCUAUUCCGUGUUCUCCACACUGACCCCACAUCACCUGCUCCCUCCCUUGUCAAAAGUAUAUGUGGGCUGUCAUCAUUUACUUCCAAAGCCACUGCACAUGGGAUUAAGUUUGAAAAGAAGGCCCGUAAGAUGUAUGUGAAAGAGAAAUCAACUCAACACACCAAAUUCAGGUACUCAUCCUCUGGGUUGAUCGUUAACCCUUUGUACCCACAUCUCGGGGCUAGUCCCGAUGGUAUCAUCAGCUGCAGCUGUUGCAGCGAAAAGGGUCUGCUGGAGGUGAAAUGCCCCUAUAAGCACAGGAUGGUCCACCCAGUGGAAGCUAGCCAGAUUGACCCAGAUUUCCCCAUUGAAUUUGAAGUUGGAAAUGGUGAGAUCAUUGGCUCAUCCCUCAAACAAAACCACCCCCACUACACCCAGAUCCAGUGUCAGCUGUCUAUUUGUGAAAAGAGUUACUGUGACUUGAUGAUGUUCACCUUCCGUGGUAGCAUAGUUACCAGAGUGUAUAGAGAAGACAAUUUUAUUCCAAAGCAUUUGGACAGGAUAAAUGCUGUAUACAAAUCUGGAAUACUUCCAGAACUUAUGACACGCCAAUAUAGAGAUGUGAUAUGUGACCCCUGUGGCCCAUCAUCCGGUACCUCGUCCAGCUCAACAUCCAGCUCUACUCCAGCCACUCAAAGGGCACCUCUCUCAACUAAUGUUCCCCAACAAGCACCCACUGAAGCUGCACAAGAAUUGUUUUGUUAUUGCAGGAAACCAGAUGAUGGUUCCCGAAGAAAUGGUUGGGUGUGAUUACCAAAACUGUGUGAACCAGUGGUACCAUUUGAGCUGCCUUACAUUAUCAAAAGCCCCCAAGACCAAACUUUGGUUUUGCCCAGAGUGUAAGAGUUUGCAACCGCCUAAGAAAAAGAGGAAGUGAUUUUGUUAGUUUGUUAUAUUUGGCAUAUUGUAUCAUAUCUCUUGUUGUCAGUAAUUUCCUCUGAAGUUUGCAUUUAGUAUGUAUGUAUAUAAUCAUCAAUAUGUCGAAAUGGCUAUUGUUUGCUCUUUCAAGUGUGUGGUCACUGUACAUAUGUUUGAAGGAAUUAAUUGUAUACUCAAUGUAUAUUGUAUUCUGUGUUGUGUAUGUUUAUUGUGUAGGUGUAAUCAUUCCAGGUCGUGUAAUAUGUAAUUUCUCAAUAACUAUGUAUUGGAAUUAAUAAAUCAUUUUUGCUGUUAUAUACAUUUUUAUUUGAUUCAAUACAUCAGUAUAACAAUAAUAUCAUGGGCAAUGAUACCAGAUAGUUCAGAACAUAGUAUUUACAUAUUCACACAUAUCUAGCCAGACUCUGUUGCGGGCAAUACACGUCCAAUACACAACGAGUCGACCUCCAAAAUGGCCGCCGAAGUCACGCGUGACGUCACAUGCAAUCGAUCAAUACAGUUCGACAGCUCUUUAAUCCACAUAGCCAGUGUUGG
ensembl:lncRNA